UUAACUUUGCUUCUUCGCUGGGAAGAGAAUUCUACAAACAAUGAUCAUCAGUCUUGGUCCCACUGGCAACUGUCAUGGGAGCAGGUGCCAGUAAGUGGGAGGAAAUUGGCUCCACUCCUCACUGCCAGAAACCCCCUAUGUCUAGUAAUGACCAUGGAGAUUCAUGGUGGUAAACUCACCUUCCCCUGCACCUGCAUGGUCCUACCCUCUGGGAUCCUAAUCUUCUCUAUAGAUAAGUAAACAGAGAAAACUGCCACAAAGCAGGUAGCAGGUAGGUUUCUCUUUUAGCCAUUCUGUCUCUUGCUUGAUAUUCUGAUCAAGAGGCUUAUCAGCUGAUAACAGGUGAGUCAACAGGCUCUAAAGCCCGAUUCCCUGCACCAAAGGUGUGACUACAGCAUUCUUCCCAAUGAACAAUGAAGUGUUAUCAGACCUGAAGGGUGGGCAGGAUUCAGGGCUGAAAGAAGCAAACAGAAAAAUGGGAACUCUGUGUUCCCUCCCUGUUGCAAAAAUACCUUAAUUCCCCAAGUAGCUGUGAACUGACAGGUGGAGUGCCCUCAGGUGUGGUUUUUUUCAACACAGGCUGCACCUGAGCAUCUUCUGAGGGAGCUUUUAAAGAAAUCCUAAUGUUCGUUCUCACUCCCAGAGAUUUUCAUUUAAUUAUUCAAAGCAAAAUUUCAAGGAAUAAUGUGAGACAAGAGCUUUCAAGAAGGGCUCAGCAGAGGUACUCAAGAGUGGAGAGUUGGGCCGAAAGAGGGUUCUCAGGGGCUGGCAUCACUAAGUGGAAGUGGGAGUGAGGAUGAUGGGACAGCAGUUCACCAGCAGCCAAAGGCCCGGACUGGGGCCCUGGUGGAGUAGGGAGAUGGGAGGAGCCAUACCUUCAGGCGUAGCUUGGUCCUAGACUGGAGAUAAGAGGGCUAAUGGAGGAGCCCAAAGUCGGGGAGCUCAGAAGAUGGUAGUCUGAGGCCAGACCCCAGAGGAAAUGCUCUUGAGAAUAAGAUGGGAGAGGCUAGAUUCUCUGGAGAUUCCAGGGAAUCGACACAGAGGUCCUUCGUACCUUGUAAAAUUCUACAGAACAAUACGAUACCAGGUGAGUGUUAUUAGGUAAGUCAUUUAAGCUCAAUGAAAACAAGUCCUCAAUUCUGGAGGGAGUCAAAGAUAUCUCUUGCAUAGAUCUGUGAGGAUCAGAUGCUACUUGGCAUAAACCUAAGCCAGGCUCAAUAAAUAUCAGUUUCCUCUCCUUCCCUAAAAACGACGUAUCCCUUGGCAACUCCACAAAGCUUUGACUUGUACUAACUUUAUACAAACAUGAAUCCUCUCACAUGAUGAUAAAAUAUGGUUGAGGAUUUGAAACAGCCAUGUGUGUGAAUUGCUAUGGGCAAGAGGGGAAGAAAAUUUGAAAAGAGGAAGAAAAGAAAGGUCUGGACCUAGCAGCACCUAAGUAGUGGGGAAGAUCAGGAAAAAUGGACUCAAGACCCUCAAUGAGCAGGGAGCUAGCUGAUGGGAGAGGCAGCAUAGGUGGGUUUCUAUCCUCAUUGACCUUCUUCUUCACCUCUGCUAUGAUUUGAAUGUGUGUUUCCCUCUAAAAUCUAUAUGUUGAAACGUAAUCCCCAAUGCAAUACUACUACGAGGUGAGGUCUGUAGGAGGUACCCUCAGGAAUGACAUUAGUGCCCUCAUAAAAGGCCUUGAGGGAGCCUGUUUGUCUCUUUUGCCCUUCUGUCCCUUCUGCCAUAUGAGGACACAGCAAAAGGCACUAUCUUUGAAGAGCGUGAACCCUUACCAGAUGGAAUCUGCUGACACCUUGAUCUUGGACUUCCCAGCCUCCAGAACUGGCUGGUUUCUUCUGCCAGAAAAUGGGGAGAGACAAACUGGUUUCACAACCAGUAAAACCAUUCAGCCAACUGCAAGAAAUAAACAGACAAGAUCCUUUAAAAAGGAUACUUAUGAGAAGUCUCAUUUUUUUCCCGUAUGGAUUUUUGAUUUAGAUUUUGUGAAGGUUUUGUGAAACUGUUCUCUGGAUUAAAUGUGGUUUGGUUUAAAACUUCA